CAUUGUGAAGCUCAGAGCGUUAACCUUUUAAGUUAAAAUUAGAGACCUCGCAAUCUCCACAAUGA
rnacentral:tRNA from 1 species